ACAGGAAGCAGCUUGCUGCUUCGCUGACGAGUGGCGGACGGGUGAGUAAUGUCUGGGAAACUGCCUGAUGGAGGGGGAUAACUACUGGAAACGGUAGCUAAUACCGCAUAAUGUCGCAAGACCAAAGAGGGGGACCUUCGGGCCUCUUGCCAUCGGAUGUGCCCAGAUGGGAUUAGCUAGUAGGUGGGGUAACGGCUCACCUAGGCGACGAUCCCUAGCUGGUCUGAGAGGAUGACCAGCCACACUGGAACUGAGACACGGUCCAGACUCCUACGGGAGGCAGCAGUGGGGAAUAUUGCACAAUGGGCGCAAGCCUGAUGCAGCCAUGCCGCGUGUAUGAAGAAGGCCUUCGGGUUGUAAAGUACUUUCAGCGGGGAGGAAGGCGGUGAGGUUAAUAACCUCAUCGAUUGACGUUACCCGCAGAAGAAGCACCGGCUAACUCCGUGCCAGCAGCCGCGGUAAUACGGAGGGUGCAAGCGUUAAUCGGAAUUACUGGGCGUAAAGCGCACGCAGGCGGUCUGUCAAGUCGGAUGUGAAAUCCCCGGGCUCAACCUGGGAACUGCAUUCGAAACUGGCAGGCUAGAGUCUUGUAGAGGGGGGUAGAAUUCCAGGUGUAGCGGUGAAAUGCGUAGAGAUCUG
rnacentral:rRNA from 1 species